UACGUAGGGGGCGAGCGUUGUCCGGAUUUAUUGGGCGUAAAGAGCUCGUAGGCGGCCAACUAAGUCAGACGUGAAAUCCCUCGGCUUAACCGGGGAACUGCGUCUGAUACUGGAUGGCUUGAGUUUGGGAGAGGGAUGCGGAAUUCCAGGUGUAGCGGUGAAAUGCGUAGAUAUCUGGAGGAACACCGGUGGCGAAGGCGGCAUCCUGGACCAACACUGACGCUGAGUGAGCGAAAGCCAGGGGAGCAAACGGG
rnacentral:rRNA from 1 species